rnacentral:piRNA from 1 species
CUCCCAGAUACCCUAUUUGGUGUAAGAGGA